rnacentral:rRNA from 1 species
UUUAAAGAGCCGCGGUAUUAUGACCGUGCAAAGGUAGCAUAAUCAUUAGUCUUUUAAUUGGAGGCUGGAAUGAAUGGUUUGACGAAAGGGUGACUGUCUCAAAUUUAAUUAAUAAAAUUUAACUUUUAAGUUAAAAGGCUUAAAUUUAACUUUAGGACGAGAAGACCCUAUAGAUCUUUAUGUUUUAAUUAAAUAUAUCUUUUUGAUAAUUUAUUUAUUUAUUAUUUAAAACAUUUUGUUGGGGUGAUAUAAAGAAUAAAUAAACUCUUUAUUAAUUUAUCAUUAAUUUAUGAAGGUUUGAUCCAUAAUUUGUGAUUAUAAGAUUAAGUUACCUUAGGGAUAACAGCGUAAUUAAUUUUGAGAGUUCAUAUCAACAAAUUAGAUUGCGACCUCGAUGUUGGAUUAAGAUAAGUUCUAGGUGCAUCAGUUUAGAAACUAGGUCUGUUCGACCUUUAAAAUCUUACG